UACAAAAUUCAUUACCCCACACAAAUCUUGCCUUUAUAGAGAAGGCCACCCAACAAGAAACCAUUACCACACACAUCCUAGUUCAGCUCAAACAAAGAUCUCAUUCCUCAACUAGGAGCAUUCAAAGGACCCAAUGACUUCAUCUUCAAGCGUUGAAAUGGAUCCCGAGUUGGCUGAAUUUUACGCGAAUUUUUACCCCGUUGAAGAUGAAGACGAGGAAGUGGUUGAUGGACCAAUAGGAGAUCUUGUUGGAGAAUGGAUUGCUAACUUGGACCAUGUUGAUGACUAUGUUUGGAUGGUCAAGGUUACUACUCUUUUGAUUCAAUUAAAAAAAUGUUAUGCAUAUUCCUAACCACGUUGCCAUUCAAAGCUUUCAUGUGAAUCAAAGUAAUAUUGUUCUUCAUGAUGAAGAUAAUGGUACAUUAUUUGAAUGCGAAAUCCUUUCAUCUGCUAAAAUUGAAAAUAAGAAAUACAUUGGAAAAGGUUGGUAUGAUUAUGUUCGGCAAGGGCAUCUCAAAGUUGGCGAUACAUUGUUCUUUGUUGUUGAGAAUCCAUCGGAUAGGCUCUAUGUAACAGUCAUUAGAAAUUAAAACAUUAGAGUAUGAA